rnacentral:rRNA from 1 species
AGUGAACGCUGGCGGCAGGCCUAACACAUGCAAGUCGAGCGGCAGCACGGAGAUUGCUUGCGGAUUCAGCUGGCGACGGGCGAGCGGGUGCGAAGUACCUGCCAAGCAACGGGUGCGAGGGGGCGGAAACAGGCGAAAAUACGGCAAAAGCCCUGAGGACGUAAGUGGGGGAGCAUGGGAUCUUCGGACAUCGCGUGAGUGAAGGUCGGAUUAGCUAGUUGGUGGGGUAGAGGGCUACCAAGGCGACGAUCCGUAACUGGUCUGAGAGGAUGAUCAGUCACACUGGAACUGAGACACGGUCCAGACUCCUACGGGAGGCAGCAGUGGGGAAUAUUGGACAAUGGGCGAAAGCCUGAUCCAGCCAUGCCGCGUGUGUGAAGAAGGUCUUCGGCUUGUAAAGCCCUUUUGUUUGGAAGGAAGGGCAGUAAGUUAAUACCUUGCUGUUUUGACGGUACCCAAAGAAUAAGCACCGGCUAACUUCGUG